rnacentral:lncRNA from 1 species
GGGGCCCAAAGGGUCCAAAAUUAAACUUUGUUUGAUUUCAUCAAAAUUGAAUAAUUGGGGUUUUUUGAUAUGUCGAAUCUAACUGUCAUGACUGUGUAUGUAGAUUCUUAACUUUUGGUCCCGUUUUCAAAUUGGUCUACAUUAAGGUCCAAAGGGUCCAAAAUUAAACUUAGUUUGAUUUUGACAAAAAAUGAAUCAGUUAGGUUCUUUGAUAUGCUGAAUCUAAAAAUGUACUUAGAUUCUUGAUUAUUGGCCCAGUUUUCAAGUUGGUCCAAAUCGGGGUCCCAAAAUUAAACUUUGUUUGAUUUCAUCAAAAAUUGAAUAAAUGGGGUUCUUU